rnacentral:rRNA from 1 species
AUUGAACGCUGGCGGCAUGCUUUACACAUGCAAGUCGGACGGCAGCACAGAGAAGCUUGCUUCUUGGGUGGCGAGUGGCGAACGGGUGAGUAAUAUAUCGGAACGUACCGAGUAAUGGGGGAUAACUAAUCGAAAGAUUAGCUAAUACCGCAUAUUCUCUGAGGAGGAAAGCAGGGGACCUUCGGGCCUUGCGUUAUUCGAGCGGCCGAUAUCUGAUUAGCUAGUUGGUGGGGUAAAGGCCUACCAAGGCAACGAUCAGUAGCGGGUCUGAGAGGAUGAUCCGCCACACUGGGACUGAGACACGGCCCAGACUCCUACGGGAGGCAGCAGUGGGGAAUUUUGGUCAAUGGGCGCAAGCCUGAUCCAGCCAUGCCGCGUGUCUGAAGAAGGCCUUCGGGUUGUAAAGGACUUUUGUCAGGGAAGAAAAGGCUGUUGCUAAUAUCGACAGCUGAUGACGGUACCUGAAGAAUAAGCACCGGCUAACUACGUG